GCCCGGCUAGCUCAACUGGAAGAGCAUCAGACUUCUAAUCUGAAGGUUGCGGGUUCGAGCCCCGCGUUGGGCU
rnacentral:tRNA from 2 species